UUUAAAUAACAACCAGCCACUACCCCGGAGUCAGCAGCGAUGCUGGGACUUAUCAGAAGUGUCAACUUGAUCUAUAGCAUUCCCUUAAAGCCUGCUUGUACACGAUAAUAAAAGCUUUGUAAGAAUUAGGCUUGGGGCUUCUCGGGUGCAUCCUCUCCUGGAGGCACUGAGAGGCCCGGGUUCGAACUGGUAAUAAAAACGACCCUGCUAAUUGGCUUCAACUUCGGUCUCUGGUGGUGUGAUUUUCGGGGGACCUGGACUGCGGGCAUAACAAAUUUUGGGGGCUCAUCCUGGGAUUCACCGAAGCCCACCCAGACACCUUGUUGAAGGGUCGUGGAAGGACCGGUCCGGGGAUGACUGCCAACAACUCCUCUGAAUCCUGUUCACCACGGAGGAACGAGAACGAAUCCAGUUAGAAGCCAGGAAAUUGGUUCCUGGCGACGAUGGUCAACCCCCCGCCAACCCAGAUUUAAUCAAUGAUGCUUUUCCUUUGACCAGACCCCCAGAAGAUGGCUGGGACUACAACACGGCAGAAGCCACUGACCGCCCUUAACCCGCCUCCCUGCUCCCUGACCCGGACCUGGAGGCCCCACUCCAUGAUUGUGCUGAGGUGUUAGCCCAGGUGCACGGAGUAAGAGAAGACCUACGAGAUCAAGCCCUGCCCAACACUGAGGUAACCUGGUUUACCGACGGGAGCAGCUUCGUGCAUCAAGGACAGGGGUAUGCGGGGGCAGCGGUGGCUUCAGAGACUGAGGUAAUAUGGGCCGAGCCCCUGACAGCAGACACCUCGGCACAAAAAGCAGAACUUAUAGCCCUAACCCAAGCCUUAAAACUAGGAAAGGGAAAAAGACGUACAGUCUACACUGAUGGCCGGUACGCCUUUGCCACCGCCCAUAUACGUGAGGCUAUAUAUCGGGAAAGAGGUCUCCUGACAGCAGAGGGAAAACCAUAAAGAACAAAGGAGAAAUCUUAACUCUCCUAGCCGCUUUAUGGGCGCCAAAAAGAUUGGCAAUUGUGCAUUGCCCGGGCCACCAAAAACCUAUAGACCCCGUGUCAAGGGGCAAUUAUUUUGCUGAUCAGACAUAGC